rnacentral:rRNA from 1 species
AGUGAACGCUGGCGGUAGGCCUAACACAUGCAAGUCGAACGGCAGCACAGUAAGAGCUUGCUCUUACGGGUGGCGAGUGGCGGACGGGUGAGGAAUACAUCGGAAUCUACUUUUUCGUGGGGGAUAACGUAGGGAAACUUACGCUAAUACCGCAUACGACCUACGGGUGAAAGCAGGGGAUCUUCGGACCUUGCGCGAUUGAAUGAGCCGAUGUCGGAUUAGCUAGUUGGCGGGGUAAAGGCCCACCAAGGCGACGAUCCGUAGCUGGUCUGAGAGGAUGAUCAGCCACACUGGAACUGAGACACGGUCCAGACUCCUACGGGAGGCAGCAGUUGGGAAUAUUUGACAAGUGGCGCAAGCCUAAUCCAGCCAUACCGCGUGGGUGAAGAAGGCCUUCGGGUUGUAAAGCCCUUUUGUUGGGAAAGAAAAGCAGCAGGUUAAUACCCCGCUGUUCUGACGGUACCCAAAGAAUAAGCACCGGCUAAGUUCGUG